GGAGGAGGCAAGCGUUGUUCGGAAUUACUGGGCUUAAAGCGUGCGUAGGCGGGAUGGCAGGUGUCGUGUGAAAGCCCUCGGCUCAACCGAGGAAUUGCUCGGCAAACCGCCAUUCUUGAGGCCAGCAGGGGGACCUGGAACUUUGGGUGGAGCGGUGAAAUGCGUAGAUAUCCAAGGGAACGCCGGUGGCGAAAGCGGGGUCCUGGGCUGGUUCUGACGCUGAGGCACGAAAGCGUGGGUAGCAAACAGGAUUAGAUACCCUGGUAGUCCACGCCGUAAACGAUGCGCACUAGGUAUCAGCGCCUCUGACGGGGUUGGUGCCACAGCGAAAGCAUUAAGUGCGCCGCCUGGGAGUACGGCCGCAAGGCUA
rnacentral:rRNA from 1 species